rnacentral:rRNA from 1 species
GACGAACGCUGGCGGCGGGCUUAACACAUGCAAGUCGAACGGAAAGACCCCUUUGGGUUUACUUGAGUGGCGAACGGGUGCGUAACACUGAAGUAACCAGCCCUUGACUUUUGUAUAUCUUCAGGAAACUGGGGCUAAUACCGGAUAGGAAUCCUUGCUGCAUGGUGUGGGUUCGAGAGCUUCUGCGGUCUUGGAUGGACUCGCGGCUUAUCGGCUGGUUGGUGCGGUAGUGGCUUACCAAGGCUUUGACGCGUAGCAGGCCUGAGAGGGCGACCGGCCACAUUGGGACUGAGAGACGGCACAGACUCCGAAGGGAGGAAGCAGGGGGGAAGAUUGCACCAUGGGCGGCAGCCGGAUGCAGCAACGCCGCGUGCGGGAUGACGGCCUUGGGGUGGUAAACCGGUUUCAGCAGGGGCGAAGCUUGUGGUGACGGUACCUGAAGAAGAAGCACCGGCUAACUACGUG